GACCAAAAAAACCUUAAGUUUUUGGUUAAAGUGGAUUGUUAUCUAGUUCAAAUGCUGAUAAACUUUGCUAAUAGAAAACGAAGAGAGCAACAGAAAACGAUGAGACCUUAUGGUUUCAAAGAAUCCUACUAAUUAAUACUCCAGAACUCUCACAAGAUCUCCUACUAUUCUUCCCGUUACUCUUAAAUCACCGGUCUAUCGCAUGGAAUGUAGUGAUGCGCAUACAUAUAUAUUUUUUAUUUUUUUUGAAGACCGAUUCUUAAAUUAAACUAAAAGAGGGAAGAACUUUUUAAAGAAAAAAUUAGUAGGCCAAGUAGAAAGCAUUUUGAUAAUUUCUUGAUUAACAUAUUGAUAUUGGAUUAGGAGCAUACUGGACUCAUGCAUUGGCUCGUACAUACAUAGAUGUUGGAUCCUGAGCAUGCAUAUAUACCUAUUUUUGGCUCAUGCAGUGAUUUGAUAUAAAUGUUGUUGACGUAGACCCAAAAUGAAAGUCGCUAACUGUCUUCUUGAUUUUUGUUCAGGGACAAAUGGUGGAAGGCAAAAGGAAAUGUAUCAUAUUUUUGUACAAAUAUGUAAAGGCUCUACUAAGUGCCAUUUUGGAUGCAUAUUUAUAAGACAGUUGAUAGACACCUCUUUUCCCCCUGGGGUAGGGGUAAGGCUUGCGUACGUAUUACCCUUCCUAGCCCCACUAGUGGAAUUAUACUGGGCCGCUAGACACCUCUUUUGCCCCUCGGGGUAGGGGUAAGACUUGCGUACGUAUUACCCUUCUUAUACCCCACUAGUGGAAUUAUACUGGGCCGUUGUUGUGGUUGAUGGACACCUCUUUUGCUUGUUACUAUAUUUUGUAACUCAUUAGUGCAACUAUUAUUGGUAAUAUAGGGUUCACUUGUACUGUAUCUUGAAAUUAGAGGCAAGAUGUUAUUACUGAUUUAUUCGAAUUCUUCGUUAGUUAGAUACCAAUUAGUGCACAUCAAACAUGUUGUGACUUCGUGUUAUUUUGUCUCCAUUGCACUGAACUUGUGGAUAAUGGCGUAGCUAGAAAUUUUAAUAAGG
rnacentral:lncRNA from 1 species